rnacentral:tRNA from 1 species
AUAUUUAUAGUAUAAAAAGUACACCUAACUUCCAAUUAGAAAGUUCAAAUUUGUUAGAUAAAUAUA